rnacentral:rRNA from 1 species
CCUACGGGAGGCAGCAGUGAGGAAUAUUGGUCAAUGGACGAGAGUCUGAACCAGCCAAGUAGCGUGAAGGAUGAAUGCCCUAGGGGUUGUAAACUUCUUUUAUAGGGGAGUAAGAUGUUACACGUGUGGGAUUAUGUAUGUAGCAUAUGAAUAAGGAUCGGCUAACUCCGUGCCAGCAGCCGCGGUAAUACGGAGGAUCCGAUCGUUAUCCGGAUUUAUUGGGUUUAAAGGGAGCGUAGGUGGAUUGUUAAGUCAGUUGUGAAAGUUUUCGGCUGAACCGUAAAAUUGCAGUUGAAACUGGCAGUCUUGAGUACAGUAGAGGUGAGCGGAAUUCGUGGUGUAGCGGUGAAAUGCUUAGAUAUCACGAAGAACUCCGAUUGCGAAGGCAGUUCACUGGACUGCAACUGACACUGAGGCUCGAAAGUGUGGGUAUCAAACAGGAUUAGAUACCCUUGUAGUC